GCAGAAAUGGUGGAAUGGUAGACACGAAGGACUUAAACUCCUUUGGCCACUAACCGGCCGUGUGGGUUCGAGUCCCACUUUCUGUACCA
rnacentral:tRNA from 2 species